rnacentral:lncRNA from 1 species
AAUUCAAGCAAGAACUAGGCUAAAUAUCACUAAACCAAUCACAAAUAAGUCCUUAAUCAAACACUCUUUAAUUACCCACACUAGGGUUGGGCCACAACCCUAACUAGAAAUUUAGCUACUCAUGAAAAAUAGGGUUGGGCCACACCCUAGCUAGAAAUUUAGCUACUCAUGAAAAAUGAAGAAAUACAAGAAGAAAUUAAGAAAUUAUGCUUAAUAAUUGAUUAAGGAAAGAAAAUCUAAUUUUUAGAAGCUAAUCUAGUACAAUAUUACUCAAAACAGUAAAUAAAAACGGCUCAGGUGCUCUCCCAAAACAAAACUUACCCUAAAAAUGACAAAACCUUCUAUUUUUACUAAGUUGAAAAUAUCUGACAAAAAUGCCCCUGCGGAGGUUGUGCGGUCUGCACAACGAGACUUGGCUUGACAGGUUCCAGUUCCAGUUAGUAGUUUAACUUUGAAGAAUUGUUACCCAUUUUUGUUUGGAAGCUAAAUCUAGCUAUUUCGAGUUUCUUUCUUAAGUAUUUAUCUCAACACCCAUUCUAAACUCCUUGUGGAUUCGACCUCGACUCACGUUGGAAUUAUUAUUUUAAUUGGGGUGUGAAUUGUAUAUUAUUUUAUUAUGCGAGGAUUAGUGUAAAAGCACGAAAGUUGAUGCCAUACAAUUUUAUUGCUCUUUACUUUGAUAUUUUGAAAUGUGGACUUGACUUUGUAGUUUUGUUAUUUCCUUUUGAACGAGGCUUACUCAGUAUCGCUUACUUUAUGUUUCCGUUUUAUGCCCCUUUACCUGUGCACUUGUUAUAACUUUCACUUGUCAUUAUUCUAUUGUUAUAUCUGAUACAUUAUCUACUAUUUUAUUACUUUUUGAUAUAUAACUGCACAAGUUCAUUGCAAGUUGUUGUCUUAGCCUCGUUACUACCUCGUCGGGGUUAGGCUCGACACUUACUGAGUAUAUUAGGUCGAUUCUACUCAUACUACAAUUCUUCACUUCGUGUGUAGACCCAGAUAUCGGUACCAGUAGAGUCCCGAGAGUUGCUUAGCAAAUA